rnacentral:rRNA from 1 species
AUGGCGGCGAGCGGCGAAGGGGGCGGCGACGCGUCCGCCGCGGCCCGGCGCCGGUGGGAUCUCAGCACCAAAGGGGCGGAGAGCAUUCCAAUUGUGAAAGAGGCUGCGGAAAUCUCCACGGACGAAGAAUCAGAUGGUGUUGUUAUAUGCCCACCAGAUGGCAACACUCGUGAUUGCGAGGAAGUUGUUAGUGGCAGUGAUCAUGAUAGUUCUCCAGAGGGCCAAGUAACUUCUGUAGAACCGGCCAUAGACGGAGAAACAGGGGAAGACAAGCUUAUAAACCAAGAUUCACUGAAGUUGAUCGAUCAAGAAAUGUCUGCUCUUCCUAAGUCACCAACAAAGCCUAGUAUGUCUGGAUCAGAGAAGUCUAAGCGUACUGUUCCUCAACCAUUCACACUUUCAACUCAAAGAAGGGUCUCUGGUGGAGGAAAUGGUGGUGUUGCUCAUCCAUCCAGUAAUGGAGAAAAAUCUGGGCAAGGAAGUAGUGCCUCUCCAGCAAGCAUGAUAAAGAAGAGUACUCUGGUGACACCCAAGAAGAUGUCACAACCUGGCCUUACAUUUCAACCUCAAGACGACGACUCCUGUUCAGUGACUUCUUCAACCACAGCUUCAGCACGAGCUGGCCGAACUAAGACAACCGUUGCCUUUGCUCCUACAUUUGUAUGUGACGACCGUGCUGACAAGAGGAAAGAGUUCUACACGAAAUUAGAAGAGAAGCACAAAGCUUUGGAAGCUGAGAAGAAUGAGGCUGAAACAAGGAAAAAGGAUGAGCAAGAAGCGGCUUUAAAACAACUAAGGAAAUCCUUGGUCAUCAGAGCAAAACCCAUGCCAAACUUCUACCAAGAAGGCCCCCCUCCAAAGGCUGAGCUGAAGAAGGUGCCUCCAACCCGUGCCAAGUCACCAAAGUUUACAAGGAGAAAGAGCACCGGGGAUGGCACACCGGCGACCCUGGAGGCAGUGAACACCAGCGCGGCAUCUCACAGGGCGCAUCGUCACAGCAUGGGGAAUCCUAAAGACGCCAAGAAAGCGCAGUGCUCGCCGAAGAGCGGCGUAGGCGCCAAAGCCAGAGCCGUCAAACCCGUGAGCUGA